rnacentral:rRNA from 1 species
CACGGAAUUAGCCGGUCCUUUUCUGAAGGUACAUACAAUAGAGGACACGUCCUCUUUUUAUUCCCAACUAAAAGCAGUUUACAACCCAGAGGGCCGUCAUCCUGCACGCUACUUGGCUGGUUCAGACUUUCGUCCAUUGACCAAUAUUCCUCACUGCUGCCUCCCGUAGGAGUCUGGACCGUGUCUCAGUUCCAGUGUGGGGGACCUUCCUCUCAGAACCCCUACCGAUCGAAGGCUAGGUGGGCCGUUACCCCGCCUACUACCUAAUCGGACGCAUCACCAUCUCAUACCGAUAAAUCUUUGGUUAUAUCACCAUGCGGUAACAUAACAACAUCGGGUAUUAAUCUUACUUUCGCAAGGCUAUCCCCGAGUAUGAGGCAGGUUUGAUACGCGUUACGCACCCGUGCGCCGGUCGCCAUCAGAAGAAGCAAGCUUCUUCCAUGCUGCCCCUCGACUUGCAUGUGUUAAGCCUGUAGCUAGCGUUCAUCCUGAGCCAGGAUCAAACUCU